rnacentral:rRNA from 1 species
AACGAACGCUGGCGGCAUGCCUAACACAUGCAAGUCGAACGAGACCUUCGGGUCUAGUGGCGCACGGGUGCGUAACGCGUGGGAACCUGCCCUUAGGUUCGGAAUAACUCCCCGAAAGGGGUGCUAAUACCAGAUAAUGUCUUCGGACCAAAGAUUUAUCGCCUUUGGAUGGGCCCGCGUUGGAUUAGCUAGUUGGUAGGGUAAAAGCCUACCAAGGCGACGAUCCAUAGCUGGUCUGAGAGGAUGAUCAGCCACACUGGGACUGAGACACGGCCCAGACUCCUACGGGAGGCAGCAGUGGGGAAUAUUGGACAAUGGGCGAAAGCCUGAUCCAGCAAUGCCGCGUGAGUGAUGAAGGCCUUAGGGUUGUAAAGCUCUUUUAACCGGGAUGAUAAUGACAGUACCGGGAGAAUAAGCUCCGGCUAACUCCGUG